AUACAACAAUGUUAAAUACACCAUUACAAAUAAUUGUCCUGCAUUCAAAAUCAUACUUAAAGGGAGAGUAAGCGAUUGUAAUCCAAUGCACUUUUUGUUUAAUCAGCAAAUAUUUCGUCACGGUUCGUUAGCUCUCUGUCUCACUUUUUUCUACACAGCCUGGCUCUUUAAAUCAUAAAAAAAGAAAGUGGCGUGUACCUUCCCUUCCCCACAACAUGUUAACACCGGUGAGGCGUUUCAAUGCUGGAGAAACCUCAGAGAUUUGAAAGAAAUGAAAACCGACACGCAGGUUGAGGUGCAGGCCGUCCUGGCUGACCCUCAGCAGGCAAUUGGCCAACAUGGGAGGGUCUUCAGCUGAUCUACUUCUUGGGUGUUCCAGUCUAUAGGAGUUUGUCCAUUUGUGUAUAUCUUAGUUUUAUUAAAUUACAUUUGUUUUAAGAAAA